rnacentral:misc_RNA from 1 species
UCAAACUUGGUCAUUUAGAGGAAGUAAAAGUCGUAACAAGGUUUCCGUAGGUGAACCUGCGGAAGGAUCAUUACCAACCUUUGGUGAGCCUUGGACGAGUCCAUGGUCUCGCGAAAUCUUGUAUUUAAAACCCGCUCAUAUAAACUAAAAACAUGUAGUAAUAUGAUAAUUAAAGAUCACUUUCAACAACGGAUCUCUUGGCUCUCGCAUCGAUGAAGAACGCAGC